rnacentral:rRNA from 1 species
UACGUAGGGGGCAAGCGUUGUCCGGAAUCAUUGGGCGUAAAGAGCGUGUAGGCGGCCAGAAAAGUCCGCUGUGAAAACUCGAGGCUCAACUUCGAGCUGUCGGUGGAAACUUUCUGGCUAGAGUCCGGAAGAGGAGAAUGGAAUUCCUGGUGUAGCGGUGAAAUGCGCAGAUAUCAGGAAGAACACCCGUGGCUAAGGCGGCUCUCUAGUACGGUACUGACGCUGAGACGCGAAAGCGUGGGGGAGCGAACAGG